rnacentral:rRNA from 1 species
GACGAACGCUGGCGGCGUGCUUAACACAUGCAAGUCGAACGGAAAGACCCUGCUUUUGUGGGGGGCUCGAGUGGCGAACGGGUGAGUAACACGUGAGUAACCUGCCCUUGACUUUGGGAUAACUUCAGGAAACUGGGGCUAAUACCGGAUAGGAGCUCCUGCUGCAUGGUGGGGGUUGGAAAGUUUCGGCGGUUGGGGAUGGACUCGCGGCUUAUCAGCUUGUUGGUGGGGUAGUGGCUUACCAAGGCUUUGACGGGUAGCCGGCCUGAGAGGGUGACCGGCCACAUUGGGACUGAGAUACGGCCCAGACUCCUACGGGAGGCAGCAGUGGGGAAUAUUGCACAAUGGGCGGAAGCCUGAUGCAGCAACGCCGCGUGCGGGAUGACGGCCUUCGGGUUGUAAACCGCUUUCGCCUGUGACGAAGCGUGAGUGACGGUAAUGGGUAAAGAAGCACCGGCUAACUACGUG